rnacentral:rRNA from 1 species
UACGACGGGGGCUAGCGUUGCUCGGAAUCACUGGGCGUAAAGCGCACGUAGGCGGCUUCUUAAGUCAGGGGUGAAAUCCUGGGGCUCAACCCCAGAACUGCCCUUGAUACUGAGGAGCUUGAGUCAGGUAGAGGUGAGUGGAAGUCUGAGUGUAGAGGUGAAAUUCGUUGAUAUUCGGAAGAACGGCAGUGUCGAAGGCGGCUCACUGACCCGGUACUGACGCUGAUGUGCGAAAGCGUGGGGGGCUAACAGG